rnacentral:rRNA from 1 species
AGUGAACGCUGGCGGUAGGCCUAACACAUGCAAGUCGAACGGCAGCACAGUAAGAGCUUGCUCUUACGGGUGGCGAGUGGCGGACGGGGGAGGAAUACAUCGGAAUCUACUUUUUCGUGGGGGAUAACGUAGGGAAACUUACGCUAAUACCGCAUACGACCUACGGGUGAAAGCAGGGGAUCUUCGGACCUUGCGCGAUUGAUUGAGCCGAUGUCGGAUUAGCUAGUUGGCGGGGUAAAGGCCCACCAAGGCGACGAUCCGUAGCUGGUCUGAGAGGAUGAUCAGCCACACUGGAACUGAGACACGGUCCAGACUCCUACGGGAGGCAGCAGUGGGGAAUAUUGGACAAUGGGCGCAAGCCUGAUCCAGCCAUACCGCGUGGGUGAAGAAGGCCUUCGGGUUGUAAAGCCCUUUUGUUGGGAAAGAAAAGCAGCAGGUUAAUACCCCGCUGUUCUGACGGUACCCAAAGAAUAAGCACCGGCUAACUUCGUG